rnacentral:pre_miRNA from 1 species
UCCGGAAAUACUUGUCAUCAAAAUGGAUAAAAGGAAAUGUAUCUAGACGUAUUUUAGUUUUAGAUACAUCUCUUUUUAUCCAUUUUGAUGACAAGUAUUUUCGGACGAAGGGAGUAGAAA